UCAACAAUAAAAUCUACGCGAACAAACUCAUCAAUUAUUAGUCUCACCCUCCACAAUAGUAUCUGCAUAGACAUGCAAGUAAGGAGUGAUUUAUAUAUAAAUAUGACCUAAUAAGAUUCUCGAUCCGCUAUUUUCAUACCCCUAGAACAAGUAUUAAGAAGAUACAAGCACACAACAAAUACAUGAAUGUUAUGCAUGAAUGUUAUGCAGAACAAUAUAUUUUAUAAUAAAAAUACUCAAUAAGGUCCAAACAUGUCACGAUCUGAUCAUACUACCCCACUAGCCGUAACACGACACUUAGAGUUACUAGUGGUUCCAAGCUAACAAAUACUUAGGUUAAUGCAAUAUCUAAGCGUUGAAAUUCUUGCUAGUUAUUCGUUACGUGAUUGUCUUGAUCUGAGUUUUUUUCGCCUGUAUUUUUGUUGCAUCACUAGUACAACCCUUCGAUGGAAAAAGAGAAACUAGGCUUUCAAUGUAGACUAUUUCAUUAUCUCGGACAUCAAAGUUAAUAAUCUUUGGGCUGAAGAGGUCAUCCUUUGGAUUGUAUAUCUUGAAAUUUAGUGCACAUCGAACCAAACUUUCACCUCUAUUUGACAUGAAAUGGGGAACAACGUACACAUGAAGCUAAGAGAUAAGGAUUAAUAACUCUUCAUAGCUACAAUAUGCCUAAUUACGCUCUAUAACUAUAUAUAGUUUCAUUUGCUAUGUUGUCUAAUGUUUGUAUAUCUCAAUUUUUUUAUUAAAAAUUAUACAGAUUCAAAAUUUUAAAUAAAUAACAAAAAGAGGUGGUAAUUUCGGUUAUAAAAAAUGAAAAACAAUCCCAUAAAAUAAGGUAAUUGUGUUUGAUUAGAAUUUAUUGCCUAAAAUGACUUCUUCAGUACAAAGAACACCAUAGUCACUAGGUUCAUGAGAUAAAAAAACUUCUUAAUACAAACAAUACUCGAUCAAUUUCUUCGUUGAUUAUACGACAACAGGUAAAUUUUCAUUCAUAUAUAGAUUAAUUGUAUGUAUUUGUAUAUAUAUGGAUAUGUAUUAUGAGUGGAUGAACUGUAUAUGUAUUUGAUAUGUGUAUAUAUAAAUCCAUAUUUGUAUAACACUGCAUGUGUGGGGAAUUCAUGCUUUUUUGAGUAGAAAUCUAAUACCUUAAAAAAAUAUGUCAAAAAAUAAUUUAACUUCAAAAAAAAAUAACACCGUUGUAAGAGAAAAGAUCUCUUAGUCAUUUUUUCUUCUAAACAAGACUCACAUAUUGGUAGUGACUUCACUUUCAAUGAAUCAUUAUGUCCAUUCUUUAACCAAUCUCGAAGUUCUAUCUAGAAUAAAUGACUUAGACGCAAUGUACAAAUAAGUUUCAUUCAAUUUAAAAGAUAUUUUCUCUUAUGAGACAGAUUAAUAUAAUUCUAUUCAUGAGAGAUAAUACUAAUAAGAAAUUCACCCAUCAAUAUACCAUAAGAGAUAAAAUAUUUAUCAACUCAAUAAUAGGAGGGUUACAAGAAAAAUAUAUUAAGUAUCCAUCUCUUAUCUAGUUAGAAACUGAAAAUAAUUCCUUCUAACACAAGGUACAUGUAUAUUACAUUCUUUGAAUUACUAUCUUAUUCUAUCAAAAGAAAUUUUGAGUAGUACUAAGUGGGUCUAUAAAGUUUAUUGAAAAUUUGAGAUAUAAUACAUUAAAUAGAUCAUAAUAUAUUGAAUAAUCCUAAAUAACAAAAUUUAAGGCUCAUUUAUACAUAUAUAUCCAUGCACCUAUAUAUAGAUAUAUCAAAAGAAGAAGAAAAUAAAAGGGAAAAGAAGAAAAAAAAUGGAAGAAAUAAAGAAAAAAUAUAUAUAAAAAAUGUAAGUUUGUCUAGAUUUGAACUUGGGUCCCUCCGUAGGUUUAUGUUGCGCUAACCACCACAUUUUACAUAAGUCUAUAUCAAAAUUUAUCACAAAUAUAUAUAUAUAUAUAUAUAUCUUAAUCUUUCUGCUGUAUUUUAAUUAUAGGUAUAUACAUAUUUAGAAAUAUUUUCCGACAAAUCCGUGUCCCGUGACACUCCUUAGGUGUUACUAAAUCCGCUCCUGUAUUCAUUCAUUUUGAAUAGUCAAUCGAUGUGAUUGGAGAACUACUCAUGCAAUAUACAUGUACAAUGACCGAUUAUUCACUCCAUAAACUUAUGCAGACCUAAUUCAAAUGGAGAGUCCACUGUUAAUUUAAGUCAAGUGAAAAUCACUAUAGUUACAUUGAUCCAAUCAUAUAUUACUCAAUUUAGGAGAGUUAAUACAGAUUAUCAAAACUAGCGGUUAAAUACUGUAAUGACCCGGUAGGUUAUUUUUGGAAAUUUUGAACUAUUCGUUUAACUUGAGUUAAUUAGUUGAUGGAUAAUUGACUUAAUCAAGAGUUAAUGGGCUAAAGUGAUAAUUUAUUUAAGACCCUAUACUAUUGACUCAUAUAUAUUAAAAUAAGUAAUAGGGUUUUAUCACUUUUAUACUUAAAUUAUUUAAAAGAAAAAGAUAAUAAAAAGAGGAGAAAAUUACCUGGGUGGCAUCGGAGGAGAGGGCACCGAAUUCAGGUAAGAUCUAUUCACAAUUUUUCAUCACCGAAUGAAAUCAUGAAUUUCUAUAAUAUAAAUUUGUGGUUAGAAGUUAGUGGAACAAUCUUUAAUAUGCUAUAGUUGAAUUUGGAUUGGAAUAUAAAUUGUAUUGUAC
rnacentral:lncRNA from 1 species